rnacentral:rRNA from 1 species
GAUGAACGCUGGCGGCGUGCCUAAUACAUGCAAGUCGAGCGAACAGACGAGGAGCUUGCUCCUCUGACGUUAGCGGCGCACGGGUGUGUAACACGUGGAUACCGUACCUAUAAGACUGGGAUCACUUCGGGAAACCGGCGCUAAUCCCGGAUAAUAUAUUGAACCGCAUGGUUCAAUGGUAAAAGACGGUUUUGCUGUCACGUCUAGCUGGAUCCGCGCCGCAUUAGCUAGUUGGUAAGGUCACGGCUUACCAAGGCGACGAUGCGUAGCCGACCUGAGAGGGGGAUCGGCCACACGGGAACUGAGACACCGUCCAGAGGCCUACGGUAGGGAGCAGUAGGGAACCUGCCGCAAUGGUCGAAAGCUUGACGGAGCAACGCCGCGCGAGUGAUGAAGGCCUUCGGUGCGGAAAACCCUGUUAUUAGUUGUGAACAAAUUUGGACGUAACCAUGCCCGGCGUGACGGUACCGAAUCAGAAAGCCACGGCUAACUACGUG